rnacentral:lncRNA from 1 species
CCUAAUUCAUACAAAGUAAUCUGGAAAUUCACGUAGGCUUGUCAGAUUAGAGGUGAUAUCUAAAACAAAUAAUCUUUAAAAUAAUCAAAAAGGAGGGGAGGGGAGGGGAGGGGGGGGGGAUCUGUACAUUUACCUUCUUGGCUGCACAGCCACCUAUGCAUUCAUAUACAUAUCAAUGUGAAUGUGAGUUUGAGAGUGUGUGUGGGUGUGAGUGUGUCAGUGUGUGCGCGUGUCAGUGUCAGUGUGUAUGUGUGUGUGUGAGUCUAUGUGAGUGUGUGAAUGUGAGUGUGAGUGAGUGUGAGUAUGAGUGUGAGUGUGUGUGUGUUACGAAAAAGUUACUUAAUAAAAUUGCAAACCACGAAUAAAGCUCAAGAAAAUUCACUCCCUAUUUGCAUGAAAGAAGAAAGAGUGUGUGUUAAGAAAAAGUUACUUAAUAAAGAUGCAAACCACAAGUAAAUCUCCAAAAAAUUCACUCUAGAAGAAAAAUUCACUCCAUAUUUACAUGAAAGAAACAAGAGCAAUACUUUACUAAAGAUAUUUUCAUUUACCUUAUGGGCUGCAAUAGCCACCUGUGCAUUCAUAUACAUAUCAAUGUGCAUAUACGCUAAUAAUUGUAUAAACUGAUAAAAAGUGUCAAUAUAGUCAUAUAUAUCAGUGUAUAUAAAAACGUAUAAACUGAUAAAAAGUGUCAAUAGGGUCAUAUAUAUCAGUGUAUAUAAAAAUGUACAUAUGCACUAUCAAUGUGUAAAGGUAUAAAUGCGUACGCAUAUCAAUGUAUAUAUAACAGACAACAAAUUUAUACAUACACGCAUAAACAUAUCAGUAUAUACAUAUCGUAUAUAUACACACUGUAUAUAUAUGAACUGCUAAUAUAUGUCAAUGUGGUUAAAUAUAUCAAUGUAUAUAGCAUGCAUCAUAGACAGUAUAUAUGCACUUAUCAACGCAUAAAGGUAUACAAUGAUUAUUGUAUAUAAUUGAUAGCAAGAAACUGUAUAUAUACACGCAUAAACAUAUCAAUAUAUACAUAUCGUAUAUAUAUAGACAUCAGUCCAUAUACAACACGCAAACAUGUGUAGUAUAUAUCAAUGAGUGUGAAUGUGAGUGUCAGUGUGUGUGAGUGAGUGUGAGUGUGAGUGUGAGUGUGAGUGUGAGUGUGUGAGUGUGAGUGUGAACGUGAGUGUCAGUGUGUGAGUGUCAGUGUGAGUGUAUAUGUGAGUGUGUGUGUGUGUGUGUGUGAGUGUGAGUGUGAGUGUGAGUGUGAGUGUGUGUGUGGUGUGGGUGUGCGUAUGUUAAAAAAAAGUCAAUAAAAUUACAAACCACAAGUAAAACUCCAAAAAAUUCACUCUAUAUUUGCAUAAAAGAAGCAAGAGUGUGUGUGUGUCAAGAAAAAGUUACUUGAUAAAAUUACAAACCACAAGUAAAGCUCCUGAAAAUUCACUCCAUAUUUGCAUGAAAGAAGCAAGAGCAGUAAGUAUUAUACCAGAGAAGAAAGAACCAUUAAGCAAAUCAAGCUUGCAAGAUCAAGAUCUCAAAUAUCGAAUAACGUAAAGAGAUCCGCCUUGAUGAUAAGUUACUUUCAUAUUUGCCGAUUUACACGUAAACUCGAUAGAGAUGAAGCACAUCAAUGAUAAUAAAAACAAGUACAAAUAAGAAAAAAAAAAUUGAUGGACUACUACAAUUGGGUAUUUUAGCAUACCCAAUUCAUCAAGAGAAGAAACCCAUUCUUACACCUAAUUCUAUACAAAUUAAUAUGGAAUUUCGCCUAGGUUUAUCUGAUUAGAGGUGAUAGCCAGAAGAAUUAAUCUCCAUCUUUAAUGCCUGAUUUUAUCAUAGUUUAGAAAAUUACAUAGGGAAGGAAAAAUCAUACACAGGGACGAUAAUGAUUCGAAGGGUAAGAAUUGAGAGGAAAAUAAUAAAAAAGGGCGAAGCGGGGAGGGGGGAGGGAGGGGGAUCAGUUUAUUUACCUUAUUGGCUUCAACAUCCAUUUGUGCAUUCAUAAACAUAUCAACGUACAUCUACAUUAAAAACUAUAUAAACUAGUAAAAAGUAUCGAUAUAGCCACAUAUAUCAGUGUAUUUAAAAAUGUAAAUGUAUGUAUGCAAUAUCAAUGCUUAAGGGUGCAUGUGCGUACACAUAUCAGUAUAUAUAUAACUGAUAGCAAGUUUAUACAUACAUGCAGAAACAUAUCAGUAUAUACAAAUCGUAUAUAUACACACUGUAUACAUACACAGUAUAUAUCCACUUAUCAACGCGUAAGGGUGCAUGUAAAUGCAUAUCAAUGUAUAUAACAGAUAGCAAGUAACUGUAUCCAUACAAACAUAUCAGUAUAUACAUAUCAUAUGUAUACACACAUCAAUCCAUACACAACACGCACACAUGUGAGUAUAUAUAUAUGUGAGUGUGAGUGUGUGUGUAAUAUAUAAAUCAGUGUAUAUAUGCGUUAAUAGCUGCAUAAACUGAUAAUAAGUGUAUAUAAGAUCAUAUAUAUCAAUGUAUAAAGAAAUUUAUACAUUAAUGUACUGUAUAUAAAACUUUAUGCACUUUACACAUACACACA